GCUUCCGUAGCGCAGUAGGCAGCGCUUCAGCCCCAUAAUCUGGAGGUCCUGAGUUCGAGCCUCACCAGGAGCN
rfam:Heligmosomoides polygyrus genome assembly, scaffold: HPBE_scaffold0006295